rnacentral:lncRNA from 1 species
UUGUUAAACCUAUAUUAUAUAAGCCCAUUGAUUAUCAACAUGUUAGUAUAUGAUAAUUCAGAUAAAUAUAUUCUGUUCGUUAAUUUCUAUAAAUGAUUAUACAAGUGUCCCCACUUGGAUAAUCAUUGUAUUUAAUCGCAUGUUGAUACACCUUUGAUAUACAUAUAUGUUGAAUUAUAUAAGACUUUUGUUAUGAAAAC